CGGAGAUUGGGAAGGUGGGAGGUAGGACGUGAUCCCCCUUCGGAGCAAUCAGGACGGGGAAAGGUUUCAUUCCGUGCAGCCGAUGAUGACAGAAGGAAAAAAUAAAAGAAAAGGCAAAACGGUGCGAGUACAUCAGGCUGGCUGGUGGGAGAGGGACGGAAGGGUGCUUUGGCACUUGAACUACUGGAGACUGGAAGAAAGAGAAGGAAACUGCACAGAGGAAGAAUGGAUUUUUGUGGCGAAAGUGCUGUCCCGCAAAUCUUUCCAUGUGUCAAAGCCUGCCUGCUGCACAAGGCUGGUCACUUAACUUCACCUUUUCCCCAUGCACAGAAUGGGGGUAACAUUAGCUUGCCUGGUGGGCACG